GAGCGUAUAGUUCAGUGGUAGAGUGCAUGCCUAGUAUGCACAAGGUCCUGGGUUCAAUCCCCAGUACCUCCA
rnacentral:tRNA from 1 species